UGAAGUCAUUGAUGCCAUGCUUCCAGGAAAAGCCUCUAAGCUUCAGAUUGUAAGGAAUCGUACCCCAAACCGACACAGGUGGUCGGGUAGAGAAUACCAAGGCGCUUGAGAGAACUCGGGUGAAGGAACUAGGCAAAAUGGUACCGUAACUUCGGGAGAAGGUACGCUCUUGAUGGUGAAGUCCCUCGCGGAUGGAGCUGACGAGAGUCGCAGAUACCAGGUGGCUGCAACUGUUUAUUAAAAACACAGCACUGUGCAAAAUCGUAAGAUGACGUAUACGGUGUGACGCCUGCCCGGUGCCGGAAGGUUAAUUGAUGGGGUUAGACUUCGGUCGAAGCUCUUGAUCGAAGCCCCGGUAAACGGCGGCCGUAACUAUAACGGUCCUAAGGUAGCGAAAUUCCUUGUCGGGUAAGUUCCGACCUGCACGAAUGGCGUAAUGAUGGCCACGCUGUCUCCACCCGAGACUCAGUGAAAUUGAAAUCGCUGUGAAGAUGCAGUGUACCCGCGGCUAGACGGAAAGACCCCGUGAACCUUUACUACAGCUUGGCACUGAACAUUGACCCUACAUGUGUAGGAUAGGUGGGAGGCUUUGAAGCACGUACGCCAGUAUGUGUGGAGCCGUCCUUGAAAUACCACCCUUGUAGUGUUGAUGUUCUAACGUCGACCCCUUAUCGGGGUUGCGGACAGUGCCUGGUGGGUAGUUUGACUGGGGCGGUCUCCUCCCAAAGAGUAACGGAGGAGCACGAAGGUGGGCUAAUCACGGUUGGACAUCGUGAGGUUAGUGCAAUGGCAUAAGCCCGCUUGACUGCGAGAAUGACAAUUCGAGCAGGUGCGAAAGCAGGUCAUAGUGAUCCGGUGGUUCUGAAUGGAAGGGCCAUCGCUCAACGGAUAAAAGGUACUCCGGGGAUAACAGGCUGAUACCGCCCAAGAGUUCAUAUCGACGGCGGUGUUUGGCACCUCGAUGUCGGCUCAUCACAUCCUGGGGCUGAAGUCGGUCCCAAGGGUAUGGCUGUUCGCCAUUUAAAGUGGUACGCGAGCUGGGUUUAGAACGUCGUGAGACAGUUCGGUCCCUAUCUGCCGUGGGCGUUGGAAGAUUGAAGGGGGCUGCUCCUAGUACGAGAGGACCGGAGUGGACGAACCUCUGGUGUUCGGGUUGUGUCGCCAGACGCAUUGCCCGGUAGCUAAGUUCGGAAUCGAUAACCGCUGAAAGCAUCUAAGCGGGAAGCGAGCCCUGAGAUGAGUCUUCCCUGAUACUUUAAGUAUCCUAAAGGGUUGUCGGAGACUACGACGUUGAUAGGUCAGGUGUGUAAGUGCUGUGAGGCAUUGAGCUAACUGAUACUAAUUGCCCGUGAGGCUUAACCAUACAACACCCAAGGGGUUU
rnacentral:rRNA from 1 species